CCCCGCAUGGCUGCGCCGAGCGCUCUCGGUGCGGAGGCUGCGGCGCCCCGAGGCAGCGGGAUGCCCGCAGAUGGCAGUCCUGUUUCGGUGCCCCUGCUAGGUGAAAGCGAUGGAGGCACUGCUGCCGCGGCGCUCUGCUGAGUGCUGCUAAGCGCCCCCCUUCACUAAUGCAGCUGGGGGCCGGACACAGAAAUCACGUCUCCGGAGGUUUCCGCAGCGUCUCGCUGCCCUUCUCUGGCUCGCCCGGGUUAGCUCGGGGCUCCGCACGCUGAGUAAGGGACAGGCUGAGCUGCUCUUUCGGCUGCAGACCGUGGGCAGCUGUGCCGGGUGCUGCUGAUCCCAGGCUGAGCCCUUGCCGAUGACUCACUGCGUGUGGACAUCUGCUCGGGGAGCUGCUGCGCUCCCUCCUGUGUCCCGGAGCUGGAUUUCCAUCCUGACGUUUUUCAGCUCCAGACAGGGUUGUAUUUAGAAACAAUUUUCUGCUGGGAAGAGUUAAAUUGCCGGCUUUAUCCAGUUAUAUAAUAUUUUCUAGUUUUUGUGUGUUGGGUUUUUUCCCCUUUAAGAUUUGUCAUCGCAGACCAAAAAUAAAGCAGAAGAGAGCAGGAAAAAAAAAAAUCUGGGCUGAACUGCACUAUGAGAUCAUUCGUGGGAUAGGUUUUGAUUUGGUAAGCUAUUUAAAAUGAAAUUGGAGAGAAAAAAAAGAGGAUAGGAGAUUAAACACUACUUUAAAAAAAGGUAAAAGUCAGCAAAAAUAGGACUUAAGCCAAAUAGCAUAAAUUAAUUUCAUUAGGAAUUUUGCUACUGUAAAAGCAAUAAGCAGUUCAGACUAAGAGGGGAUAUGUACCCUGCAGAAGAAUCGUGUUAUGUACGCUCAGUCGUAAAUUAAAGUGAAGCCCUGGCACUCGGAAGAGUGGCACUGCUCUCCUGUGUGCUUUCACUGUAUCUCACCACUUAGUGUAUUGUGUCAUUUGCAUUAUGUAAUGCCUAAAGUACCCCAAAAUACUAAUUCUCUUAAGACAUUGCUGUUUAUUUAAAUACCUGAUCCCGAGCAUUUAAGAGGGUGAUACCGAUUAAUCCUCACGAUUAAUGAUCCUAAUGUCUGGUUUCCUAGGUAGAUGAUUUUAGAGAGCAUUUGUACUGAAAAAAAAAUGCCACUCUCAGCUGCCUUUUUGGUUGAACUUAGCAAUGUAUUGCUAUUGUACUUAGCAAGGUUGCUAUCACACAAAAUGAAUGAAAAGUGACAAAAAGCAGAGACUGAAGAAGAGCACUGGGAAUUUUAAAAGACUUUCAGUUCAGCACUACCAUUUUUCUCUUUUGCUGUGUUCUCACCAGCUGCUUAAACAACUGCUGCAGGCAAGCCAGGUUGUGCAGGUGGAGGCGGUGUUUAGCAAGGCAUGCUGCUUUACUUCAGUCACCUGUAAAACAAGAUGAUCUGCAAUGUUUGGAUAAAUUCAGUUGUUCUUACUAUUUCCUUUGUCACCUGCAUUAUCUGAAGUGCAGCUUGGAGUAUCUACAUUACCCACAAAAGUGAUAUUGAAGAAACCAAACAGACACAUGCAGAGGACUAUGAUUUAAUGCCUGGAAUAAUCAGAAAAAAUAUCCUGCCAUCUCCAAUCAAGUUUAGCCUGUAUAUUAUGGUGAAAUUCUGCAAGAAAAAACAAAGAAGCUGUCAUCACGUCUAAUGGCUUUCUUACAUUCAGAAUCCCCUCUGGAAUAAUAAUUACAUCAGUGCAUCCGUACUGAUGUAUCUCUGCUCUGCCUGCUCCCACUGUUGUGCCUGCGCUGUUAGAUGUUACCUAUGAUUUAUGUCAGGCGUCUGUAGCGUGCUGUGCUGCAUUGGUGGCUGCACAUUUCCAUAUGGAUGGGUAUCCCGCCGUUCCUGGCACUGCUCCCAAGCCCUGCUGAAUUCCAGGCCAGUUUUAUACUAGAUUGCAAGGUGUGUUUAAAGGCAUGGGGAAUUGUGGGGAUGGGAAUCAAUUGUUUGUAACUGAGUUCUGCUGUAUUUCACAACUCAGUUGAUCAAACAGUGUGCCCAAGCACAUAUAUACAUACAUAUACAUAUACUUUUAAAUUUUUUUAAUUGAAUUUUUUGGGUUUUUUACCCAGGCACAUAUACAUGGGUAAAUUUUCACCACAAGCAGCUUUGUGUGCAGAUCUGAAUGUUGUAACCAUGUACCUGAAAACAAUUUAGAUAUUAAUUAAAGUGUUUCAAGUUCUUACAAAGUUCAUUGAGUUUUAAGAAGUUCUAAGUCAAGGUCCCUCUGGGGAAUCCACUGGAAUCAGUAAUUUAUGUCAUACUGAAAUGACAUCUGUAUCUACUUGACAAUCUUGGACUUUUUUAAUGCCUUAAAUAACUUAAUGGAAAGUGUACACUAGCUUUGGGCUACUAAUGGCACUCAUCCUUAAUGAUAAAGAGCAAUUACUUUCACUGCAAUUAUUACUGCUGUUUUUGUUGUUGUUAUUGUUGUAUGACCUAGAAAUCUUUCCUUCUAACAUGUUUACACAUUUGAAUGACGGUCUCCUUCCUUAUGUCACCUAUUACAAUACAGACAUUGAACAAUACUCACCAUGUUACCAGUAUGCUAUUCUUCUGUCUUGAGAAUGCAAAUUCCAAGAACCAGGGAGAAAACAGCACUGCAAAGGAUUGCAGUCAUCACAGGAAUGGUGUGGUUUGUGUUCUUUAGCGAAAUAAAUUGGUUUUGAGAAACCCAAGCUUAUAUGUUCCUGAUUUUAUUUCUGGUGGGAGGAUGGAGGUUGGCAUUUCUAGCACUUCAGGGACUCAUAAAAAAUACUAAGACAGUGAGCAAGUUAGGAAUCAGCUGGAAAUUGUUCCUGGCACAUCUUACAUUUUUUUCCAUGAUAGCAAUGUAUCAAAACAAGUCAGCUGUGCUAUACCAGGAAUCACAUAUAACUUGAUAACAGGCCUCCAGUCAGACAACAUCAUCUGGUAAAAUUUGUCUUCGGCCACAGAUGCCUCAGAGGGAAUGUUUUAUAUUGACAACUUCAGCAUGAGCAAGGAAGCAGUGACACUCUGUAGUUUGAGCAUUGUAUGUUAUAUUUUCUUUUAUUUAGCCUUCACAUCUCUCACCCUGUAAUUGCUUUCUGCUUUUGGUUUGGUGAUGAUCCAGGUUACAUAAAGACUGUUUGACUGGAAAGAUUUGGAUGAACUCCCGGUGUCUGAAAGGGCCACCUGAUGCUGUUCAGAAAGAUUGCUGAAGGAGAGCCCCAGGAAAGGCCCUCAGCCCAAAUUCAGCACUAAAGUGCUCCAUCUCACCUGACAAGUGGCCAGUCACUGGGGACAUUACCCCAUGGCUUCAGCAACACAGCUCUGUCUGCUGCCUCGUGUCAGAGACAGCGGCCAGGAUAUGGGGUGGGAGCGGGGAGAUUGGGAAAUAGGCAGAGGAGAAUAUGGAGGCACAGAAGACAAAUCCAUAGGAAAUGAGGCUGUGCUAGCUCUGCUGUUGGAACAGUGUGUUGCUCAUCUGCUUAGGCUGUGUGCCACCAGAGGUGUAUGGGGAAACAAAACAGGCAAGAUAAUUAUUGUUUACUAUGCCUUACUUACCUGUUUUCCUACUAUUCUGUUGUUUAUUGUAAUUUUUUUCCAGUUUGUCUGAUACUGUAUUAAAUAUAUUUCUCUGUACCUCCCAAGAUCAUCCUUGGACUUCUUUGAAAUAAACAUGAUCCCAUGUCAGCAAAGACAUUUCCUGUCUCAGCUGGAACCAGAUGUCUCAGUUGUUUUUAUACUUAUGGAGGAUUUAAGUGAAUGUGUUGAGAAGUGUUAUUUUUUUAAAUACAAUGCUCUUUAACAACUAGAAUUUUGCAAUAAAUGCAGCAGAAACAGAUCCAUAAAAAACCAAAAAUAUGUUUCUGUGACAAGGCAGGAAAAGCAGUAAAAUUUUGUAUAUUUCCUAUGCAUAUGUGUAAUUGCAAAACACAUCAUCAUGCAGGGGACCAAGCUGUGUGUUUCUUAUAAGAGGCAUUGUAGAGGAGAAAG